UACGGGGGGAGCAAGCGUUGUUCGGAUUUACUGGGCGUAAAGGGCGGGUAGGCGGCCACCGCAAGUCAGUUGUGAAAUCUCUGGCUUAACCCAGAAAGGUCAACUGAUACUGCGGGGCUAGAGUGCAGAAGGGGCAACUGGAAUUCUCGGUGUAGCGGUGAAAUGCGUAGAUAUCGAGAGGAACACCUGCGGCGAAGGCGGGUGCUGGGCUGACACUGACGCUGAACUGCGAAAGCUAGGGGAGCGAACGGG
rnacentral:rRNA from 1 species